UAAUACAUAUAUGAUGUUAUAGAUGUUGUGUUAAUAGAUAUAUUUGAUGUUAUAGAUGUUGUAUUAAUAGAUGAACGAUAUUAUAGAUGUAUUAAUAUUUUAUUAAGUGUGUUUUGUUUGAACAUGAAUUGUAAUUUCCAUAUAUAUAUAUAGGGAGAGUGCCACUAUAUUACAGUCCUCACUUAUAAUUUAUUUUUGCAAACUUUAGUCGAAGGCGUAUGCUUCCAGGUACAAAAAUGUUUUUCAUAUUCUGGCGUGUAUAGAAUUAGAAAUUUAUAAUUAUCUUAUAAAAAUUAUAAAUAUUUAAAGGGAAAUAAACGCAAGGAAAUGAAAAGGACCUCAAACAAAGAUCUUCCAACUGCUAGCUGUGUGUGCUUACAACUUUAUCUCAAAGAAUGCCCAAACGUAAAAUAAGAGGAGAUUUUUGCUAGUUCUGAAGCAAAAUGGAAAAAAAAAAAAAAAAAAAAAAAAAAAAGAACAGCCAAAA